AGAACAAUGCUGUCCUGGCACCAGUGACAUCAGUGGCCUGGCCUGGAGGGGACCUUGAAAGCUGUUCUUUGGACCCAGCAAAGCCCCACCGUGGUUGGAACGUGGGUCUCUGAGUGACUGCGUGGAGAAGAACCACUACCCUCUGCCCAAUGUAUUGGUGACAUCAGUGAGCUGUAAACUGUUAUUGGACUAAGCCAUCAAGAUUUGGGCGUUUGUUUGUUACCACAGCAACACCUGCUUUGCACGGACUAAUACAUCAUGUUCACAGACACUGCUGAUGUGUUUCACCAGAUUUAGUUUUCUCCUGAUGGUUUCUGCAGCGGGUUCUGGAGCUGUGUUCCUACCUCAAUACCUACCCUAGCAUCAAAGUCCCUGGUGGGAAAGCAAUGCUUUCUCACAUUAUGAAGAUGGAAAAGAAUAUCGUCAGGGAGAACAUCACCAGCCCAGAAAAUUGGCUGUCAGCUCCAGGCCUCCAACCCUUAUAUUUAUUCCUGGG
rnacentral:lncRNA from 1 species